rnacentral:rRNA from 1 species
GAUGAACGCUGGCGGCGUGCCUAAUACAUGCAAGUCGAGCGAACAGACGAGGAGCUUGCUCCUUUGACGUUAGCGGCGGACGGGUGAGUAACACGUGGAUAACCUACCUAUAAGACUGGGAUAACUUCGGGAAACCGGAGCUAAUACCGGAUAACAUGUUGAACCGCAUGGUUCAACAGUGAAAGACGGUCUUGCUGUCACUUAUCGAUGGAUCCGCGCCGCAUUAGCUAGUUGGUAAGGUAACGGCUUACCAAGGCAACGAUGCGUAGCCGACCUGAGAGGGUGAUCGGCCACACUGGAACGGAGCCACGGACCAGACUCCUACGGGAGGCAGCAGUAGGGAAUCUUCCGCAAUGGGCGAAAGCCUGACGGAGCAACGCCGCGUGAGUGAAGAAGGUCUUCGGAUCGUAAAACUCUGUUAUUAGGGAAGAACAAAUUUGUAAGUAACUAUGCACGUCUUGACGGUACCUAAUCAGAAAGCCACGGCUAACUACGUG